AACGAACGCUGGCGGCAGGCUUAACACAUGCAAGUCGAGCGCCCCGCAAGGGGAGCGGCAGACGGGUGAGUAACGCGUGGGAACGUACCUUUUGGUUCGGAACAACUCCGGGACACUGGAGCUAAUACCGGAUAAGCCCUAACGGGGAAAGAUUUAUCGCCGAAAGAUCGGCCCGCGUCUGAUUAGCUAGUUGGUGAGGUAACGGCUCACCAAGGCGACGAUCAGUAGCUGGUCUGAGAGGAUGAUCAGCCACACUGGGACUGAGACACGGCCCAGACUCCUACGGGAGGCAGCAGUGGGGAAUAUUGGACAAUGGGCGCAGGCCUGAUCCAGCCAUGCCGCGUGAGUGAUGAAGGCCUUAGGGUUGUAAAGCUCUUUUGUCCGGGAAGAUAAUGACUGUACCGGAAGAAUAAGCCCCGGCUAACUUCGUG
rnacentral:rRNA from 1 species